AACCCUUGUCUUUAAUUGCCAUCAGUUUAGUUGGGCACUUUAAGAGACUGCCGGUGUUAAGCCGGAGGAAGUGGGGAUGACGUCAAGUCCUCAUGGCCUUUAUGCCCAGGGCUACAUACGUGCUACAAUGGGCGGUACAAAGAGAAGCAACCUCGCGAGGGUGAGCAAAUCUACAAAAAGCCGUUCUCAGUUCGGAUUGAAGUCUGCAACUCGACUUCAUGAAGUCGGAAUCGCUAGUAAUCGCGGAUCAGCAUGCCGCGGUGAAUACGUUCCCGGGCCUU
rnacentral:rRNA from 1 species